rnacentral:rRNA from 1 species
GUGCCAGCCGCCGCGGUAAUACGGAGGUGGCAAGCGUUACUCGGAAUUAUUGGGUGUAAAGGGCAAGUAGGUGGCUUAGUAAGUGAGAGGUGAAAUACUCCGGCUCAAUCGGAGAACUGCCUUUCAUACUGCUUUGCUUGAGGAUGGUAGGGGGUAAGGGAAUUCCCGGUGUAAGGGUGAAAUCUGUAGAUAUCGGGAAGAACACCAGCGGCGAAGGCGCUUAGCUGGACCAUUCCUGACACUGAAUUGCGAAAGCUAGGGGAGCAAACAGAAUUAGAUACCCUGGUAGUCC